rnacentral:rRNA from 1 species
UACAGAGGUCUCAAGCGUUGUUCGGAUUCAUUGGGCGUAAAGGGUGCGUAGGCGGCGCGGUAAGUCGGGUGUGAAAUCUCGGAGCUUAACUCCGAAACUGCAUUCGAUACUGCCGUGCUUGAGGACUGGAGAGGAGACUGGAAUUUACGGUGUAGCGGUGAAAUGCGUAGAUAUCGUAAGGAAGACCAGUGGCGAAGGCGGGUCUCUGGACAGUUCCUGACGCUGAGACACGAAAGCCAGGGGAGCAAACGGG